CGCACGUUCCCAUGUAUCAAAAGCCUUUGUAAAUAUCCUUUUGCGGAUGUAAAAUGGAAUGGUAGUGCCAGACGGAUCGAGGUAGAACUUCACUCUACGAACGUCUCUGACCCGGGCAGUAGCAGGGAUGACUGCACUACAGGUUUGUCCGGAUGAAGUUGUUAUGGAUGCGAGGAGGAAGAAACCAAGGAAGACAAGAUAUGACAUGGUGAAUUAAUGACAAAAAUUUAGUUUCAAGCUUUGGGAAAUUGUGAUGUGUUCAAACUCAUCAUACACACCCAUAUUUAUACAACUUUUCUACAAUGUGAAUUUAAUGAGUUGAGAAUAAAAUGUUGACCGUAUUAAAGAGGGUGGACCCGUUUAAUGAAUAUUGAUGUCGAAAAUAUUUUAUUUUAUCACAUCAAAAUAAGUAGACAGACUUCAUUCUAUAUAGAGUUAGGUGAUAUCUCAAUUCUCACUAUUAAAUCCAAUUCCAACGACCCCACAUUUGAUUUCUACUUAUUCAUUUUGUUUAUUAAUUUAUUUAAAUAUCAUUAAAUAUGCACAUUAACUUGUAAAUUGUAAUCGGAAUCGCAUAAAUUUAGAUUUUUAUAUAAUUAAAUUGAGAUUUUGAUAUAAUUAAAAAGAUUUUGAUGUAAACUGACUUUUCAUGUCGAGAAAAAAAAUAUAAUUAAUGUUGACAAAUUUAUUUGCCCUACCUACUAAUUCUUCUGAUCAUUUGCAAUUUAUUUGGUAUCGAUAUAUAUUAGUGUGUCCAAAUUAUCAUACAAUUUUGCAUAUAUUUGCAAGUUGAAUUUUACAACUGGAAAUAGAUUACAAUUUAAAAACUUUUUUAAUUAAAAAUAAAAUAUUUUUAUUUUCUAACUUUUCAUAUCGAGAAAAAUUUAUAAUUAAUAUUAACAAAUACUUUUGUCCUAACCAGUUGCUUUUCAAUUAUCAUUAAUUCGUUAUUACACAUAUUUGCGUGUCCAAAAUAUUUUAUUUUAUCACAACAAAAAAGUGGACAGACUUCAUUCUAUCUGAAGUUGGGUGAUAUCUCAAUUCUCACUAUUAAAUCCAAUUCCAACGACCCCACACAUGAGAUUUCUACUUGUUCAUUUUGGUUAUUAAUUUAUUUAAAUAUCAUUAAAUAUAUGCAUUAACUUGUAAAUUGUAAUCGGAAUCGCAUAAAUUUAGAUUUUUAUAUAAUUAAAUUGAGAUAUUGAUAUAAAUUAUUUUUUUAUAUAAUUAAAAAGAUUUUGAUGUAAAACUGACUUCUCACGUAGAGAAAAAAAUAUAUGAUUAAUGUUGACAAAUUUAUUUGCCCUACCUAAUAAAUCUUCAGAUCUUUUGCAAUUAAUUUGGUAUCGACACUUUAACGGAUCCAAAUAAUCAUACAAUUUUGCAUACAUUUGCAAGUUGAAUUUUAUCACUGAAAAUAGAUUGCAAUUUAUAAAUUAUUUUAAUUAAAAAUAAAAUAAAAAUAUAUUAUUUUUUCUUCUAAUUUUUUACAUCAAGAAAAAUUUAUAAUUAAUAUUGACAAAUACUCUUGUCCUAACUAGUUGCUUUUCAAUUAUCAUUAAUUCGUGAUUACACAUAUUUACGUGUCCAAAAUAUUUAUUUUAUCACAUCAAAAGAAGUGGUCAGACUUCAUUCUAUCUGAAGUUGGGUGAUAUCUCAAUUCUCACUAUUAAAUCCAAUUGCAACGACCCCACAUUUGAUUUCUAGUUGUUCAUUUUGGUUAUUAAUUUAUUUAAAUAUCAUUAAAUAUGUACAUUAACUUGUAAAUUGUAAUCCAACGUGAUCGUAUAAAUUAUUUUUUGAUAUAAUUAAAAAGAUUUUGAUGUAAACUGACUUUUUGCGUCGAUAAAAAAUAUAUAAUUAAUGUUGACAAAUUUAUUUGCUCUACCUACUAAAUCUUCUGAUCAUUUGGAAUUAAUUUGGUAUCGACACAUAUUAGUGUGUCCAAAUUAUCAUACAAUUUUGCAUAUAUUUGCAAGUUGAAUUUUAUCACUGAAAAUAGAUUACAAUUUAUAAAUUAUUUUAAUUAAAAAUAUUUUAUUUUUCUCUUCUAAUACCACAAAAUAUAUGGACAAACACAAGUACUUUAUCUAAAGUGGAAUGAUAUUCUCAUGCACCAUUAAAUCCAACCACACAUAAGGGUUCAUUUUAUCCAAACCCCAACCCCACAUUUUUCACCAUUAAUUCUCACAAUUAAAUCCAACCCCAAUCCCAAAUUUAAUUACAAGUUUUUUCUUUUAGGUCAAAAUUUAUUUAAAUGUCAUUAAAUAUGUGCAUAAACAUGUAAAUAAUAAUCUAAUGUAAAUAGUAUAAAAUAAGAUUUUUAUAUAUUUAAUAGAUUUGGAUUUAAACAGACUUUUCACGUAUAGAAAAAUAUAUAAUUAAUGUCAAACAAUUAACUUGCCCUACCCAAUAAUUCCUUUUGACCGCUUACAAUUAAUUUGAGAUCGACACAUAUUUGCGUGUCCAAAUUUGCAUACAAUUUUGUAUACAUUUGUAAGUUGAAUUUUAUCACAAAAAAUAGAUUACUAUUUAUAAACUAUUUUAAUUAAGAAAAAAUAAAAAUGUUUUAUUUUUCUCUUCUAACUUUUCACGUCGAGAAAAUUGUAUAAAUAAUAUUGACAAAUACCCUUGUUCUAACUAGUUACUUUUCACUUAUCAUCAAUUUAUGAUCGACACAUAUUUGAGUGUCCAAAUUAUUUUACUUUAUCAUACCAAAGUAAGUAGACAAACUUCAUUUUAUCUGAAGUUUAGUGAUAUCUCAAUUCUCACUAUUAAAUCCAAUUCCAACGACAUCAUAUUUAAUUACUAGUUGUUAAUUUUAGGUCAUAAUUUAUUUAAGUGCCAUUAAAUAUGUGCAUAAACUUGUAAAUUGCAACCCAAUGGCAUCUUAUAUAAAUUUAGAUUUUUAUAUAAUUAAAUUGAGAUUUGGAUAUAAACUAUUUUUUGAUAUAAUUAAAUAAAUUUUGAUGUAAAAUGACUUUUCACGUCAAGAAAAAAUGAUGUAAAUUUUUUAUUUUCCCUACCUAAUAAUUCUUCUGAUCAUUUGCAAUUAAUUUGAGAUCGACACAAAUUCUUCUGAAUUUUAUCACAGAAAAUAGAUUACAAUUUAUAAACUAUUUUAAUUAAUUUAAAUAAAAAUGUUUUAUUUUUUACUUCUAACUUUUUACGUCGAGAUUUUUUUUAUAAUUUUUGUUGACAAAUACCUUUGCCCUAACUAGUUAUUUUUGUAGAAUCUAAAUUGUUGAUGCAUAUUAUGUAUUGAUAAUCAUGUUUAGUUAACCAUUAUCAUGUUGUUAUUCCCUAGCUAGGAUAAAUUGAAUUUGAAUUAAACCUAAUUUCAAUUAGGUUUAAUUAUAUUAAACCUUAGAAUUAUUUGAGCAUGUCUAAAUAAAGUCAAAAUUCAAAGAACGAUUUUUAUGGUCAACAAGUCAACAUGUUGUAGUUGAGAAUCAAUAGGGUAAAUUGAUUUGAAUUAAACCUAAUCUCAAUCAGGCACAUAUUAACCUUAGAAUUAUUUGACCAUAUAAAAAUUCAAGUCAAAAGUCAAAACCCUAAUUUCGUGGUCAACAUGUCAACAUUGUGUAUUUGAGAAUUAUUCCUAAUUACCAUUAACUAUUCUUAAUCUUUGUCUUAUAGCAAAUUUCAAUAUAAGGAUGGAAAUAAUACAAAAGAGGAAUUCAUGUGAAUAAUACAAGAAAUACAUGGGUUGAAGAGAAGCUAAACCUUGAUUAAAGAUAAACUUAUCAUAGAACAAAGGAAAAAUAUCCAACCACAUUUUUUACUCUUGUGAAAGAUCAAGGAACUAUUGAUUCAAGAUCUAAUGGAGAAGAUCAUUUGGUCAAAGCUAUAAAUAGAGUGGUAUACCCAUUGCAAAAGCCAACCACGCUACAAGAGAUUUUCAAAUAUCAGCAUUGAGCCCCUCAUUUCCACUCUUAACGUCCACAACUUUCAAAAUCUCCAAGUUUCCAACGUUUUCAAAUUGUGUUCAAAUGUUCUUGUUCAAAGGUGUCAAAAGCUCUACACUUCUUCUUCUAAUCUUCUUGAGUGUUCAUAGCAAGUUUGAAGUGUUGUAAUCCUAAACUUUCUCCAUCAUUUUCGUGUGUAUUCCACUUUAGUUGAGAGAGUUGUCUCAAAAUCACCAAAGUGGAAAGGAGGGUUAUUAGGCUUAAUCAUAAAGCUCUAAGUUAGUUUUAUAGAGUUAUCUAGAAAACUCUUAGGUGCUAUACGUCUACCUGGAAAGACUUGGGAAAGUUUUAAGUUUACUUUAAAAACUUAAAUGGUUCGUAAGCAUUGUAGUCUGUAAAAAGCCUACAAAAGGUUCGUAAGCAUUCACUACAAGAAAAGAAAUCUACAACGACGAUUUUGGAUCAUCGCUCAAUUUUAAGAAGGAUUUUAAAGAAAACACACGAUGUUAGCGACGAUAUAAAAAUGAUCUUUUUUUGUAUAAUUAACGACGAUAUAUUGAUAAUCGUCGCUAAAUAUACGAAUUAUAGCAACGAUUUAAAAUUUAACGUCGCUAAUAAUGAGUACAAAUUUAUAAAAUUUUAUAACAAUAAGGUAUUUAUGUAAAAUGACCCUUUUAUAUAUAAUUGUCUUUUAUUAUAAAAUCCCAAAUUUCCCUUUCACUAAGCCUAAACGCUCCAUUUUCCCAAUCUCUCCUAUCGCCGAAUUUCCCCAAUCUCCCCUAUCACUGGAUUUUCCCGCCAGUCAUCAUCAACGGACGAUAGAUUUUCCUAUCGGUCAUCAUCAACGAACGCCGGCAUCAAUAUGGAGCAGAUAUGUUCAUUGGGUUUCUAGCUGUAUCUUCCCUAUUUCUGUUUGGAUUUCUUGUUGGAUUUCUGUUUGGGUUUGUCAUUGGAGCUUGUUUGCAUCUUUCUGUUUGGGUUUGAAUCCUUGCUAAUUCGUUUUACACAAUGUUUUGUUUCUGUUUGAAUCGUUGCAUCGUUUUGUUUCUGUUUGAAUCCUUGCAUCGUUCUAUUUGGAUUUGAAUCCUAGCAAAUUCGUUUUACACAAUGUUCUGUUUCUGUUUGAAUCCUUGCAUCGUUCUGUUUGGAUUUAUGUUUGGGUUAGGAUUUUAUACAAUAUCAAAUAUAAAACUAAUAUCCUUUAGAAAUGCCAAAUAGUUUCAAAUUAAGACAUCAAUUAUCAAUCAAUAAAAUUAAAAUACAAGCAUAUCACAAAAAAAAUACUCGAUAUAUUGAUUGCUGGCAAUUGGAGAUGGUGGAUCUCCAGGUUGUAGAUUUAUAAAGUAUUUAUUUUUAUUUGGGGAUUGGAAAUUCUGUUUGGAUUUAUGUUUGGUGGGAAUGGGCUGGGAUCAUGUACUUAUAAUCAUAGAAUCCACUAGAUCAUCAGAUUAUAAGUGAUUUUCAUACCGAACCAGACCUGAAUAGGGGUUAUAUACAUUCUCAUUAUGAGAGGGUUCUAGCAUAUGUAAAUGGAAUUACUCGUUUGAAUCAGUUUUACACAAUGUUGAAUCGGUUUAAUUCGUUUUACACAAUAUUCUGUUUCUGUUUGAAUCAGUCAUUAUAUUACUGUUGGUGUAUAGACUUGUCGGUGCAAGCUCAAAACCUCAACUCUCUCAAGUGUUCACUCUCUCGUAUUGUCAACCCCCUCCCCUGUUGGACCAGGAGAGAUAUUUAUAGUUUCUUCUCGCCGACCUCGGGCCUCGUGGGCUCGUGUGUUGGGCCCGUCCACUCGCCUGGGCCGCCGACAGGCCCUGUUCGGUCCAUGGUACCAACAGUACUCCCCUCUUCCUCGACGGGCCCGGGCCCGGGGGCCGCCUGUCCCCGUCCCGUCUACAACCACCUCCAUUAAAGCUCCUCGGUGUUUGAGCCCAUCCUCCUUCUCCUUCCUAUAAAUAGCCUACUCGACUCUUCAACUUCUCAUACCAUCCCCCCUUCCGCCAUGAGUGUUCAAGACAUCCUCGAAGAGUACGGUCGCGAAGUGCAACUUCAGCAUGCCGCCUGGGCCAUGUGCCUGAUGUCGCCCGCCGACGUCCCUAACAGCGUGGCCGUGGCCGAGACUCAACGUCUAAACGCCGUGUUGAUCGACGUCCAUCGUCACCUCUCCCAGGUUCGCCACUCCGACCUUCUCGCCUACCCCGGUACCGCUCUUGCCGCCGUCUCGGGCUCCGCCGGCACCUCGCGUGCCUUCAGCGCGUAUGGUAUGAUCACCGCUCCUGCUGUCGCCGCCGCUGCCGAUUCUCUGCCAAAGCGUCGUCGGUCGCGCGGCCAUCGCCGCUCCCGGGGGUCUUCGUCCCUUCCGGCUACUGACCUGUGCCACUUCCUGUCGGGGUCCUCGAAGUCGGCCCGUGAUGAAGCACGGAAUCUGCUACCAGUAGGCUCGCGGGGUGGCGAGAUGAUCCGGAGGCUGUGGAGUCCACGACGCGCGCUCUACGUCAAACACCUGCAGAAGAGGAGGGGAAUCGACGACUCACGUGGGAGUAGACGAUUCGGGCUCCUUGGUUGCUCUAGUGUGGAGUGUGAGUCAAGAGAGUAAGUCAUGGAUGGAGGACACCCCUAGGACCCCUUUUAUAGGGUCCUAGAGGCGUUUCCAUUCAAUGGAGUGGGGCCCACCUCAUUAUGGUGCCCUAUUGAAGGGUGCCAUAAUGGGGUGGGCCCGCCCGCGUAACGGUUGGGAGUCGCCGAUCCAGGAGUGGAGUCGCCGAUUCCUUGGAGGCCAAGUCCUCGGUCUACCAGACCCGAGAUCCCUGGCCGGAAUCGGCGAUUCACCCUUGGAGUCGGCGACUUGGUAGUCCCAGUCGGCGACUCCUAAGUGUUAACUUGGGCUUUUGACGUAGACACGUGCUUCGCACCGUGGAAGCCUUUCCAGGGGUCCGGCAUAUAGUGACGGAACCCUAUUCCUUGUUUGAAGGGCGUUGCUGGGAGUGACUGACGUAAUCAGGCAUGUCUCACCAGUACUCCCCCCUGAAGAGAGUAUGGCUGAACACCCGUGUACCGCCAGUAUCCCCCCCCAAGCAAGGUGAUCCGCAUCAAGGCCAAAGCGACAAGAUGGGAUCGAAUCAAUGUGGCCACAGCGACACAAUGACUCCGUUACCCAUGCACUAUUAGAUGGGUUGAUUCACUAUCAGAAUCUAGUUCCAGGCCAAUAGAACUACGUGUUUAUAGUCCAACUCUGAUCAGGAGCGACUCUUUCUGUGUUAUCAUCAAGGCCGAAGCGACAAGAUGAAGGGAGAUUAUUAAGGCCCAAAGCGACAAAAUAAUUCUCAUCCAUUAAGGCCAAAGCGACAAAAUGAAGCGACUCGCUAUCAGAGUCUGAUUCUGACCAAAGCGACAGAAUGCGUGGAUCCUGGCCAAAGCGACAAGAUCUAGUUCACUAUCAGAACUGAUGUUUAUAGUCCACCCUGAUCAAGAGCGACUUUACGUCCGCAACGACGGUUACCCCACUAAGGUCGAAACGACAAAGUGGGUCGAGAUCAUUAAGGCCAAAUCGACAAAAUGAUCUCCAAGUCUAUCAAGGCCAAAGCGAUAAGAUAAGAGAAUUAUUGAGGCCAAAGCGACAAAAUAAUUCUUGGUCCAUUGAGGCUAUAGCGACAAAAUGGACUGACUCGUUAUUAGAGUCUGAUUUUGGCCGAAGCGACAGAAUGCGUGGAUCCUGGCCAAAGCGACAGGAUCGUUCCUGCAAAACAACUACAUCAGUCUAAAGGAUAUAUUUAUUGACUUACUGACCUUGCCGUGCGGGGCUGCUCCUCGUGCUGCUCCUUCCUAUGCUCAAUAAAUCCUCGAUUGAUCUGGCCGAAGCGACAGAUCUAUCAUGCUCAUGGUGUGACAGCUUCUGGCCAAAGCGACAGAAGUGUCGGGAAGAGUUUAUGAUACUCCCCCCCGAAUUUGACAACUUCUGGCCAAAGCGACAAGAGUGUCGGGACGAGCUUAUGAUACCCCCCCUUGAGAUCAUUAAGGCCGAAGCGUCAAAAUGACCCCUGGUCUACUAAGGCCGAUGCGACGAAGCAGACCGACUCACUAUCAGAGUCUGAUUCUGACCAAGGCUACAGAUCCACUAUCAGGAUCUACCAACCUCUUAUUCAUGACUGUUCCCUUAUUGGCAGGAACAUUGCCUCGAUGGCGCAGGCCAAUAGCAUGUCCAAUCAGAUGUAAAGCCACUGAGUGCAGAUCUAAGGAAUUCUGAGGACGAGGAGGAGUAUCGCCUUUUGCCCAAAUCUCUCCUGAAUCAAAAGUGAGCUCUACUUGCGGACUUGGAGGAGCCGUGGCCGAAGCUACAUGAGGUCCAGGUAUUGGCAAGAAUUGAAGAACUAUGUUGGCCUGACUUUUCACCGAUGUCUGUGAAUAAAAUAUCGAUUAGAUGAGUAUUAUAUUGUUGAUGAUAAUUAUGUUACGUUAUAAAUAAAUAUGUAGAUGAGUAUUAGGAACUUACAAUUGCAAAAUUUACACACGUCUGAGCUUCCCAUGUAUCGAAAGCCUUUGUAAAUAUGUUUUUGCAGAUGUAAAAUGGAAAAGGACAAGUCGGAUCGAUGUAGAACUUCACUGUACCACACCCCCAUUUUGCACAAAAAGGAGUGAAGUCGUUAUUGACUGCACUACAGGUUUGUCCAGAUGAUGUUGUUAUGGAUGCGAGGAGGAAGAAACCAAGGAAGACAAGAUAUGACAUGGUGAAUUAAUGACUAGAAUUUAGUUUCAAGCUUUGGGAAAUUGUGUUGUGUUUAAACUCAUCAUACACACCCAUAUUUAUACAACUUUUUUACAAUGUGAAUUUAAUGAGUUGAGUAUAAAAUAUAGCCAUGUUCAAUGUAUAUUAAAACUUUUAUAAAAUUCAAAUGUAUCUGAGGAUCGUAUUAAAAAGAAUAUGUACGAUGAAUAAUUUGUGGACAUGCAUAUAUAUAUUUUCGUAACACAACUUCAAUCCGCAUAAAGUUAACGAUCUUAUCUUAAAAAAAUUGGUUGUAUUUUAAAUACAUAUUAUAAUUAUGUUUAUUAUACAAAAUUAAAUUUUAUUAUAUUUUAAGCAAAAUAAAUUACAAUUUAAUUAUAUACUAUUUUCUGAUAAAAUCGAAAAAAUAUCGCCAUUGACUGCACUACAGGUUUGUCCAGAUGAUGUUGUUAUGGAUGCGAGGAGGAAGAAACCAAGGAAGACAAGAUAUGACAUGGUGAAUUAAUGACUAGAAUUUAGUUUCAAGCUUUGGGAAAUUGUGUUGUGUUUAAACUCAUCAUACACACCCAUAUUUAUACAACUUUUUUACAAUGUGAAUUUAAUGAGUUGAGUAUAAAAUAUAGCCAUGUUCAAUGUAUAUUAAAACUUUUAUAAAAUUCAAAUGUAUCUGAGGAUCGUAUUAAAAAGAAUAUGUACGAUGAAUAAUUUGUGGACAUGCAUAUAUAUAUUUUCGUAACACAACUUCAAUCCG
rnacentral:lncRNA from 1 species